CGCCCUCUGCGGUGUUCGUAUCCGCUCCUGGUCCUCUGAACCUAUAAGUUUUAAGCCGGGAGCCGCUACAGCAGAUGCUGUUGUGCAAGCCCACCUCCGAGUGGGAAGCCUGAUGCAUCUCGGUGGCACCCACCUGAACCCUUCGGUUCAGGGCAAUGGGGCGGUACGGCACAGGCGGAGGGCGC
rnacentral:other from 1 species